rnacentral:rRNA from 1 species
UACGGGGGGAGCAAGCGUUGUUCGGAUUUACUGGGCGUAAAGGGCGCGUAGGCGGUCACGACAAGUCAGUUGUGAAAUCUCCGAGCUUAACUCGGAAAGGUCAACUGAUACUGUGCGACUAGAGUGCAGAAGGGGCAACUGGAAUUCUUGGUGUAGCGGUGAAAUGCGUAGAUAUCAAGAGGAACACCUGCGGCGAAGGCGGGUUGCUGGGCUGACACUGACGCUGAAGCGCGAAAGCCAGGGGAGCGAACGGG